AGUGAACGCUGGCGGUAGGCCUAACACAUGCAAGUCGAACGGCAGCACAGAGGAGCUUGCUCCUUGGGUGGCGAGUGGCGGACGGGUGAGGAAUACAUCGGAAUCUACUCUGUCGUGGGGGAUAACGUAGGGAAACUUACGCUAAUACCGCAUACGACCUACGGGUGAAAGCAGGGGACCUUCGUGACUUGUGCGAUUGAAUGAGCCGAUGUCGGAUUAGCUAGUUGGCGGGGUAAAGGCUCACCAAGGCGAGGAUACGUAGCUGGUCUGAGAGGAUGAUCAGCCACACUGGGACUGAGACACGGUCCAGACUCCUACGGGAGGCAGCAGUGGGGAAUAUUGGACAAUGGGCGCAAGCCUGAUCCAGCCAUACCGCGUGGGUGAAGAGGGCCUUCGGGUUGUAAAGCCCUUUUGUUGGGAAAGAAAUCCAGCUGGCUAAUACCCGGUUGGGAUGACGGUACCCAAAGAAUAAGCACCGGCUAACUUCGUGCCAGCCGCCGCAGUAA
rnacentral:rRNA from 1 species